rnacentral:lncRNA from 1 species
UUAAUUCCAAAUCCUGAUGCUGCCCCAUAUUAAUUCUGUGAAUUCGGGCAAAUGACUUAGUUUGUCUAAACCUCAAUUAUCUCAUCUAUAAAAGGCAGCUAGAUCUUAACUCACUGGGUUCUCGUGAGGAUUAAAUGAGAUAGUGCCCCUAAGGUUUCUGGUAUGAAGGAGGCACUCCUUAAAUGUUCGAGACUUGCCAGAGGGCUUCUUCUCUGUCUGGACUGUGCUAAUGACCACAGAUCCCCGGUUGAGAGGAAUGCCCAGACCACACUCAUCCUACACUCAUCCCUAUACUCAUUGUCCCUUGGGAACCAACUGCAGGGAGGAGGGGAAAUGGCCACCACUGGAGGGAGUACACAGCAGGCCAAGACUUAUGGGGGACUCUUCCAAAUUGGGGCCAUGGAACUGUCACUAUUUCUACUCUUUAUUUUCCUUUUGUCAUCCUUUUGGGUUCACCGAGCUAUAGAAUAACAGAGGGAGAUGAAUUUAGCAAAUACAUCACUGAAGCUUCUCCCUCGGAAGUUGGGCCCAAGCAAUGGGAAUGAGAAAGGUAACCUUGGACCGUGGGGGCCAUUUGAUUUGAUGACCCCAUCCCCACUUCAUUUAUCAGUUGGCCAAUGAGGCAUGGCGAGUCAGGCAUUGGGCCAGGCUCUGGGUAAAGCAAUGGUGGAGACUCAAUGCUUGCAUUGGAGGAGCUGAGUCGGAGAAGCUGGAAAGUGUGAAUGCUGAACUGAAGGCUCAGAUUGAGGAGCUCAAGAACGAGAAGCAGCAUUUGAUAUACAUGCUCAACCUUCAUCGGCCCACGUGUAUUGUCCGGGCUCAGAAUGGGAGGACUCCAGAAGAUGAGAGAAACCUCUUUAUCCAACAGAUAAAAGAAGGAACAUUGCAGAGCUAAGCAGUCGUGGUAUGGGGGCGACUGGGGAGUCCUCAUUGAAUCCUCAUUUUAUACCCAAAACCCUGAAGCCAUUGGAGAGCUGUCUUCCUGUGUACCUCUAGAAUCCCAGCAGCAGAGAACCAUCAAGGCGGGAGGGCCUGCAGUGAUUCAGCAGGCCCUUCCCAUUCUGCCCCAGAGUGGGUCUUGGACCAGGGCAAGUGCAUCUUUGCCUCAACUCCAGGAUUUAGGCCUUAACACACUGGCCAUUCUUAUGUUCCAGAUGGCCCCCAGCUGGUGUCCUGCCCGCCUUUCAUCUGGAUUCUACAAAAAACCAGGAUGCCCACCGUUAGGAUUCAGGCAGCAGUGUCUGUACCUCGGGUGGGAGGGAUGGGGCCAUCUCCUUCACCGUGGCUACCAUUGUCACUCGUAGGGGAUGUGGAGUGAGAACAGCAUUUAGUGAAGUUGUGCAACGGCCAGGGUUGUGCUUUCUAGCAAAUAUGCUGUUAUGUCCAGAAAUUGUGUGUGCAAGAAAACUAGGCAAUGUACUCUUCCGAUGUUUGUGUCACACAACACUGAUGUGACUUUUAUAUGCUUUUUCUCAGAUCUGGUUUCUAAGAGUUUUGGGGGGCGGGGCUGUCACCACGUGCAGUAUCUCAAGAUAUUCAGGUGGCCAGAAGAGCUUGUCAGCAAGAGGAGGACAGAAUUCUCCCAGCGUUAACACAAAAUCCAUGGGCAGUAUGAUGGCAGGUCCUCUGUUGCAAACUCAGUUCCAAAGUCACAGGAAGAAAGCAGAAAGUUCAACUUCCAAAGGGUUAGGACUCUCCACUCAAUGUCUUAGGUCAGGAGUUGUGUCUAGGCUGGAAGAGCCAAAGAAUAUUCCAUUUUCCUUUCCUUGUGGUUGAAAACCACAGUCAGUGGAGAGAUGUUUGGAAACCACAGUCAGUGGAGCCUGGGUGGUACCCAGGCUUUAGCAUUAUUGGAUGUCAAUAGCAUUGUUUUUGUCAUGUAGCUGUUUUAAGAAAUCUGGCCCAGGGUGUUUGCAGCUGUGAGAAGUCACUCACACUGGCCACAAGGACGCUGGCUACUGUCUAUUAAAAUUCUGAUGUUUCUGUGAAAUUCUCAGAGUGUUUAAUUGUACUCAAUGGUAUCAUUACAAUUUUCUGUAAGAGAAAAUAUUACUUAUUUAUCCUAGUAUUCCUAACCUGUCAGAAUAAUAAAUAUUGGAACCAAGACAUGGUAAACA